GCUCUUCACUCUAAAGAAGCCCACAGGGGUGAGCUGUCAGCUCUUCACAAGCCCCUGCCUUAAUAGCAGGAUCUGCAGAGUCCCACAGUCUAGGCCCCAAAAGGUAACAAAAGGUAAAACCAAAUCCCAUGAACAGAGGGCAGACCCACAACUCUCCAUGCUUGGAUUUUGUGUUUGCUUGUUUGUUGAUUUUUGUCACCUGACCUGUCACACACAAAACCUACGCGCAGACUCACACCAGAGGAACCCAAGGGCUUGGCUGGUGUGUAGCCCCCAUGUCUGACCCGUCAAGUCCUCCAGCAGAACUUCCCGGGAUGCUUGGCAGACUCAGUGGGAACCUGACUCUUGAAAUGUGGCUGGUGUGGCCAAGGAGCAACACUUUCAUUUACUCUAAACGUAAAUGUAAUUAGCCACGCAAGGCUACGGCUACUGCAUUAGACAGCACGUCUCCGGAGACGCCAAAUAAGCGUGAUGAUGUCACUGGCCAUUUGGAAGCAAUUUAUUGACUAUACACUAGGGGAAAUAUUUUUAUCAGAAUCUGGAAAGGAUGCUGUCGGUGUAACAUUUCCCUGUGGACCAGAAAUGCUGACAGAGACCGAUGUGUCAAUGCUCGUGUUCUGUGAAGAAUUCAAAAUGCAGCCUCUGCUUUCAGCCUCAGAUCCCCGUGUGGUGGCUAAGAGCCUGUGACGCAGAGGGAGAGACUGACAAGCGGCAUCAUCUCCUGACGUUCUGCAUAUUUCUCUCUCCUGAGCGGACUUGGAGGAAAGGCAGCACUUAAGAUGCUACCGAUGACAACCUGCCAUUUUCUAUCUGGAUAAAAAUAGCAUGAGGGCAGCUUCUUGCCUGAGUCAUACUUUGAUUAUCACACAUUCCUGGCCUCCUGCUGCUAAGGCACAGGUAAGAAUUUGUAAGGUGUCUUAGGAUUUGUUAAACUCUAGCUGAGGAUGAGCAGAUUGCAAGAGAAUAAGAACAACUGCAAAAACAUUGCUCUACCUCCUCCAGGCUUCAUCCUCCAUCACUCGAAUUGCGAACACGCAUCUAGAUUAUGUCCAGCUACAUACACAAGAAUUAUUGGCACUUGUGAUGCUAGAUUUUUCCACCUCUCUAUGUAAUAAAAAAUCUUGGUUAAAAAUCCAGGACUUAAGCAA